ensembl:lncRNA
UUAUUGGAGUAUACUUGAUUUACAAUGUCAUGUUAGUUUCUGCUGUACAGCAAAGUGAACCAGUUACACGUACAUCUACGAACACAGGUGAACACACACACGCACAAACUCUGAUGUUUCCACAAAUACAUGCACACAUAUCUACCUAUUUCUCUAUUAUCUAUUAAAAGCCGUGUGUGUGUGUGUGAGUUACUCAGUCGUGCCUGACUCUUUGCAACCCCAUGGACUGUAGCCCACCAGGUUCCUCUGUCCAUGGAAUUAUCCAGGCAGGAAUACUGCAGUACGGUGCCACUUCCUUCUCCAAGGGAACUUCCCGACCCAGGGAUUGAACCCGGGCCGCCUGCGUUGCAGGCAUUUACUGUCUAAGCCACUAGGGAAAGCCAGAUGCACAUAAAUCCACUAUUUUUUAGAUUCUUUUCCCAUAUAGCUCAUUACAGAGUAUUGAGUUCCCUGUGAAAGUCGCUCAGUCGUGUCCGACCCUUUGCGACCCCAUGGACUAUACAGUCCAGGGAACUCUCCAGGUCAGAAUACUGGAGUGGGUAGCCAUUCCCUUCUCCAGGGAUCGAACCAAGGUCUCCCACAUUGCAGGCGGAUUCUUUAUCAGCUGAGCCACAAGGGAAGCCCCUGUGCUAUACAGUAGGUCCUUAUUAGUUAUUAUAUGUAUAUAGUAGUAUGUGUAUGUAUACAGCGGUAUGCGUGGGCAUAUAGCGGUAUGCGUGGGUAUAUACAGGUAUAUAGCGGUAUGCAUAUGUCAGUCCCAGUCUCCCAAUUUAUCCCUCCCAUGAGUUCAAUCUGGAUGUCAUAACCAGGCAGAGAGGGACAGAGCUGCCGAGAGAGGAGCGCCAGGACAGCAGACUGGCACGCCCACGCUUCCUUAGAAUUAGAUUCAAAACGUUCCCUGAACAACCGGAAAGGCAGACAGUCUGCCCUGAGCAUGAUGGAGGUGAGUGGAGGCCCCCAGGAUGGCAUUGUUACCCCAGACCCCAAUGGGGAGUGAGCAGCGGGCACCGAGUUCGUUGAGGAGCUGUGUGUGCCCUUGCGGGCCAGCAGGCCUCUGGGGGUCAGGGGCCUGCAGCCGUGACCUGUGGCAUGACUCCAUCCCCAGGCCCCUCUGAGCGGGGAGUCCCACCGUGGGGGCGGCCCUGCUAACAUGCUGGGAGGAGGGGAGAGCAGAUCUUUGCGAAGCGCCUUCUUUGUACUGAGGGAAAGCGGCGAGGAGUGGGGCUCUCAAGCUGGCUUUGUCUUCUGAAGCUCCUUCUUACUCCCCGCACCUUCGCCCCACCCCACCCCCGGUUGGGUGACUGUCUGUGCAGAAU